UUCGACUGGGGGAGCAUGUAAAUGCUGAGAGAGCAAUCGACCCUUUGAACCUGAUACGGUUAACACCGGCGUAGGGAAGUGGAGU
rnacentral:ncRNA from 1 species